AGAGUUUGAUCCUGGCUCAGAACGAACGCUGGCGGCACGUUUUAAGCAUGCAAGUCGAACGGUAGAGACACUUCGGUGUCUUGAGAGUGGCGGACGGGUGAGUAACACGUAGGUGAUCUGCCCUGAGGUUGGGGAUAGCCCAUGGAAACAUGGGGUAAUACCGAAUGAGAGUUCAUGUCGAAGUGAACUGAAAGGAGCUAUGGCUCCGCCUUGAGGAUGAGCCUGCGGCUGAUUAGGUAGUUGGUGGGGUAAAGGCCUACCAAGCCGACGAUCAGUAGCCGGCCUGAGAGGGUGAACGGCCACACUGGGACUGAGACACGGCCCAGACUCCUACGGGAGGCAGCAGCUAAGAAUCUUCCGCAAUGGGCGCAAGCCUGACGGAGCGAUGCCGCGUGAACGAUGAAGGCCGGAAGGUUGUAAAGUUCUUUUCUUGGGGAGGAAUAACCAUCGGAGGGAAUGCCGGUGGGAUGACGUGAACCGAGGAAUAAGCCCCGGCUAAUUCCGUGCCAGCAGCCGCGGUAACACGGAAGGGGCAAGCGUUGUUCGGAAUUAUUGGGCGUAAAGGGCGUGUAGGCGGACAAUCAAGUCCGGUGUGAAAGACCUCGGCUUAACCGAGGGGACGCGCUGGAAACUGGUAGUCUUGAGUACUGGAGGGGAAGCUGGAAUUCCUGGUGUAGGGGUGAAAUCUGUAGAUAUCAGGAAGAACACCGGUGGCGAAGGCGAGCUUCUGGCCAGUAACUGACGCUGAGGCGCGAAAGCGUGGGGAGCGAACAGGAUUAGAUACCCUGGUAGUCCACGCCGUAAACGAUGUGCACUAGGUGUCGGGGGGAUCCCCCUCGGUACCGUAAGCUAACGCGUUAAGUGCACCGCCUGGGGAGUAUGCUCGCAAGGGUGAAACUCAAAGGAAUUGACGGGGGCCCGCACAAGCGGUGGAGCAUGUGGUUUAAUUCGAUGAUACGCGAGGAACCUUACCAGGGCUUGACAUAUACCGGACAGCCGUAGAGAUACGGUCUCCCUUCGGGGUCGGUAUACAGGUGCUGCAUGGCUGUCGUCAGCUCGUGCUGUGAAGUGUUGGGUUAAGUCCCGCAACGAGCGCAACCCUUUCCGUAUGUUACCAACAGGUUAUGCUGGGGACUCAUGCGGUACAGCCGGUGACAAACCGGAGGAAGGUGGGGACGACGUCAAGUCAUCAUGGCCCUUAUGUCCUGGGCUACACACGUGCUACAAUGGCCGGUACAGAGUGAUGCGAAGCAGCGAUGCGGAGCAAAACGCUAGAAAACCGGUCUCAGUACGGAUUGGAGUCUGAAACUCGACUUCAUGAAGGUGGAAUCGCUAGUAAUCGCGCAUCAGCAUGGCGCGGUGAAUACGUUCCCGGGCCUUGUACACACCGCCCGUCACACCACCCGAGUUGGGGGUACCCGAAGUCGCUCGUCCAACCUGCAAAGGAGGACGGUGCCGAAGGUACGCUUGGUAAGGGGGGUGAAGUCGUAACAAGGUAGCCGU
rnacentral:rRNA from 1 species